GGCCGUGCACAGCCACUAAUCGAUAAUACACGUGUACACGACAAUACAAUUAUGCUGUGUGUACCACUUGUCUCCACUGCAAAUACAAUAUCAUCGGGCGAUUCGACACGUCUACCAAAAGUACCACGAAUCUACGAGAAUCUCACGGCAAAUCCCGAUUUGAGUGUGACGAUUCAUUCGAGUGCACAGGAUUUCCGAGAGAAUUAUCAAAUUGGUGGAAAGAUUAACUAUGAAUAUCUCGGAGGAUUUGAUCAAUAUGUAGGUGAUGAUGUUUUUUUAUUGAGAGAUAAAUACGAAAUUCCAUUACAAUCGAUAUUUUUUGACUGAAAAAUGUCUGAAAAAUCAAAAAUUUUAGCUAAAAAUUGAGAAUAUUUUUGUUUAAAAAAAAUCAUUGAAAUUGAUUUUUUUUUAUUCCAUAAAAAUCUCGGAAAAGUCAAUUUUCAGUCAUAAAUCUUCUGAAAAUUAUCCAAACAAUGGGAUUUUCUGAAAUUUUAGCUUAAAAAUUGAGGAUUUCCCGGUUUUUUCAGAGAAAUUCCAUUACAAUCGAUUUUUUUACUGAAAAAUCCUCUGGAAAUUAACAAAAACCAAAUAAAAUGCCCUAAUUUUUUUUUAAAUCCAAAAAUUGUUGGAUUUUUUCAGAAAAAAAUAUUUUUUCAAUUGACUGGUGUCCAAAAAAUAUAGAAAAUUCAAAUUUUCCAAGAAAAAUAGCCAAAAAAAUGUAAUUUUUGUCUAACAAAAAAAUUGAAUAGCGCAAAAUUAAAUUGUCGUUUUUUUUAAUUUCCCUCCGGUUUUGAAAGGAAAAAAUUCCAUAAAAAUCGAAAUUUUUUGACUGAAAAAUCCAUGAAAACUCGAAUUUUGAGUCAAAAAUCCUCUGAAAAUGCUCCAAAAUAUGAGAUUUUCUGAAAUUUCAUCAAAAAUUAAGAAUUUCACGGUUUAAAAAAAAUUCCAUUAAAAUCGAUAUUUUUCAAGUGAAAAAUCUCUGGAAAACUCGAUGUUUGAGUCAAAAUUCGUCUGAAAAUGCUCCUUUAAAUUGAAAAAUUGAAAAAAAAACCGCCCACAAUAUUUGCAGAAUAUCCAAGUGUUCGUCCAAGUGUCAUCUCUUAAAUUCACUGGAAUGAACGGUUACCCGGAUCCAGAAGAUCGUAUAUCAAUUGACUGGGGAUGCUCGAAAUUGUGGCCUUGUAAGCCGAAAUCUCAUCACAAAUUCCGUGUACGCUUCCAUCAAGCACAACUGCUGCCGAAGAACGAUCGAAUUACGAUUGUGGCUGUGGCGAAGGAUAAAACUAGCGGAAUUAUUCACAUUUCGCAG
rnacentral:sRNA from 1 species